rnacentral:rRNA from 1 species
UUUAUGGGGUGACUGCGUACCUUUUGUAUAAUGGGUCAGCGACUUAUAUUCUGUAGCAAGGUUAACCGUAUAGGGGAGCCGAAGGGAAACCGAGUCUUAACUGGGCGUUAAGUUGCAGGGUAUAGACCCGAAACCCGGUGAUCUAGCCAUGGGCAGGUUGAAGGUUGGGUAACACUAACUGGAGGACCGAACCGACUAAUGUUGAAAAAUUAGCGGAUGACCUGUGGCUGGGGGUGAAAGGCCAAUCAAACCGGGAGAUAGCUGGUUCUCCCCGAAAGCUAUUUAGGUAGCGCCUCGUGAACUCAUCUUCGGGGGUAGAGCACUGUUUCGGCUAGGGGGCCAUCCCGGCUUACCAACCCGAUGCAAACUACGAAUACCGAAGAAUGUUAUCACGGGAGACACACGGCGGGUGCUAACGUCCGUCGUGAAGAGGGAAACAACCCAGACCGCCAGCUAAGGUCCCAAAGUCAUGGUUAAGUGGGAAACGAUGUGGGAAGGCACAGACAGCCAGGAUGUUGGCUUAGAAGCAGCCAUCAUUUAAAGAAAGCGUAAUAGCUCACUGGUCGAGUCGGCCUGCGCGGAAGAUGUAACGGGGCUAAACCAUGCACCGAAGCUGCGGCAGCGACACUAUGUGUUGUUGGGUAGGGGAGCGUUCUGUAAGCCGUUGAAGGUGUGCUGUGAGGCAUGCUGGAGGUAUCAGAAGUGCGAAUGCUGACAUAAGUAACGAUAAAGCGGGUGAAAAGCCCGCUCGCCGGAAGACCAAGGGUUCCUGUCCAACGUUAAUCGGGGCAGGGUGAGUCGACCCCUAAGGCGAGGCCGAAAGGCGUAGUCGAUGGGAAACAGGUUAAUAUUCCUGUACUUGGUGUUACUGCGAAGGGGGGACGGAGAAGGCUAUGUCAGCCGGGCGACGGUUGUCCCGGUUUAAGCAUGUAGGCGGAGGUUCCAGGUAAAUCCGGUACCUUGUUAACGCUGAGGUGUGAUGACGAGGCACUACGGUGCUGAAGUGAUAAAUGCCCUGCUUCCAGGAAAAGCCUCUAAGCAUCAGGUAACACGAAAUCGUACCCCAAACCGACACAGGUGGUCAGGUAGAGAAUACCAAGGCGCUUGAGAGAACUCGGGUGAAGGAACUAGGCAAAAUGGUGCCGUAACUUCGGGAGAAGGCACGCUGAUGUGUAGGUGAAGCCCCUGCGGGUGGAGCUGAAAUCAGUCGAAGAUACCAGCUGGCUGCAACUGUUUAUUAAAAACACAGCACUGUGCAAACACGAAAGUGGACGUAUACGGUGUGACGCCUGCCCGGUGCCGGAAGGUUAAUUGAUGGGGUUAGCGGCAACGCGAAGCUCUUGAUCGAAGCCCCGGUAAACGGCGGCCGUAACUAUAACGGUCCUAAGGUAGCGAAAUUCCUUGUCGGGUAAGUUCCGACCUGCACGAAUGGCGUAAUGAUGGCCAGGCUGUCUCCACCCGAGACUCAGUGAAAUUGAACUCGCUGUGAAGAUGCAGUGUACCCGCGGCAAGACGGAAAGACCCCGUGAACCUUUACUAUAGCUUGACACUGAACACUGGUCCUUGAUGUGUAGGAUAGGUGGGAGGCUUUGAAGCGUGGACGCCAGUCUGCGUGGAGCCAACCUUGAAAUACCACCCUUUAAUGGCUGGUGUUCUAACGUAGACCCGUAAUCCGGGUUGCGGACAGUGUCUGGUGGGUAGUUUGACUGGGGCGGUCUCCUCCCAAAGAGUAACGGAGGAGCACGAAGGUUGGCUAAUCCUGGUCGGACAUCAGGAGGUUAGUGCAAUGGCAUAAGCCAGCUUGACUGCGAGCGUGACGGCGCGAGCAGGUGCGAAAGCAGGUCAUAGUGAUCCGGUGGUUCUGAAUGGAAGGGCCAUCGCUCAACGGAUAAAAGGUACUCCGGGGAUAACAGGCUGAUACCGCCCAAGAGUUCAUAUCGACGGCGGUGUUUGGCACCUCGAUGUCGGCUCAUCACAUCCUGGGGCUGAAGUAGGUCCCAAGGGUAUGGCUGUUCGCCAUUUAAAGUGGUACGCGAGCUGGGUUUAGAACGUCGUGAGACAGUUCGGUCCCUAUCUGCCGUGGGCGCUGGAGAAUUGAGGGGGGCUGCUCCUAGUACGAGAGGACCGGAGUGGACGCAUCACUGGUGUUCGGGUUGUCAUGCCAAUGGCACUGCCCGGUAGCUAAAUGCGGAAGAGAUAAGUGCUGAAAGCAUCUAAGCACGAAACUUGCCCCGAGAUGAGUUCU